rnacentral:rRNA from 1 species
GUGGGGAAUAUUGCACAAUGGGCGGAAGCCUGAUGCAGCGACGCCGCGUGCGGGAUGACGGCCUUCGGGUUGUAAACCGCUUUCAGCUCUGACGAAGCUUUUGUGACGGUAGGAGCAGAAGAAGCACCGGCUAACUACGUGCCAGCAGCCGCGGUAAUACGUAGGGUGCGAGCGUUGUCCGGAAUUAUUGGGCGUAAAGAGCUUGUAGGCGGCUUGUCGCGUCUGCUGUGAAAGCCCGGGGCUUAACCCCGGGUCUGCAGUGGGUACGGGCAGGCUAGAGUGUGGUAGGGGAGACUGGAAUUCCUGGUGUAGCGGUGGAAUGCGCAGAUAUCAGGAGGAACACCGAUGGCGAAGGCAGGUCUCUGGGCCAUUACUGACGCUGAGAAGCGAAAGCGUGGGGAGCGAACAGGAUUAGAUACCCUAGUAGUCC